rnacentral:lncRNA from 1 species
CAGUUACUCUCUAAUCUUGUUAUUAAUUUCAAUGAAGCCUUCAAACACAUGUUUCUAAGGAAAAUAAAAGAGGACUCAGUUUGAGAAUAAUACUUUGGGAGUGAUGCAGAUGACCAGAACAUUUUCAUUUACAUUGCAUUGUUACAAAGCAAUGAUUUUUAAAUGUAUUUAUGGAAAUAUUUGAGAAUGAGUUUAAUAAUGUAUUAAGCUAUGGGACAUUCUAAGAGCUUUUUAUCUUGCUAAAGAGAAGAAUUGUGACUUGCCUUGAGGAAACUGAAGCCCAGAGAUGUAUGCUGGUAGUCAGAAAUCCCUCUUAUCCACGACCGCUUCAACUGUCUUUAAAACAAGAUCAGCUUUCUACUUCCCCAUCAUUCUUAGUCUCACUCUCCCCACAACAGCGUUGUGGUAAUAGAAAUUUGGUUGGUUCUGGCUACCUUCUGGUCCAGUGCCUCAAUCCCUGUCAUCAAGGAGUUUCUGGAGAAAGAUGUGUUUAA